rnacentral:rRNA from 1 species
UACAGAGGGUGCAAGCGUUAAUCGGAAUUACUGGGCGUAAAGCGUGCGUAGACGGUUACAUAAGUCGGGUGUGAAAGCCCCGGGCUCAACCUGGGAAUUGCAUUUGAGACUGUGUAGCUAGGGUGCGGAAGAGGGAAGCGGAAUUUCAGGUGUAGCGGUGAAAUGCGUAGAUAUCUGAAGGAACACCAGUGGCGAAAGCGGCUUCCUGGUCCAGCACCGACGUUCAGGCACGAAAGCGUGGGGAGCAAACAGG